rnacentral:rRNA from 1 species
CCUACGGGAGGCAGCAGUGGGGAAUAUUGCACAAUGGGGGAAACCCUGAUGCAGCAACGCCGCGUGAGUGAAGAAGUAUUUCGGUAUGUAAAGCUCUAUCAGAAGGGAGGAAGAUGACGGUACCUGAGGAAUAAGCCCCGGCUAACUACGUGCCAGCAGCCGCGGUAAUACGUAGGGUGCAAGCGUUAUCCGGAUUUACUGGGUGUAAAGGGAGCGUAGACGGGGAGACAAGUCUGAAGUGAAAGGCCGGGGCUCAACCCCGAGACUGCUUUGGAAACUGCCUGACUGGAGUGCUGGAGAGGCAAGCGGAAUUCCUAGGGUAGCGGUGAAAUGCGUAGAUAUUAGGAGGAACACCAGUGGCGAAGGCGGCUUACUGGACUGUAACUGACGUUGAGGCUCGAAAGCGUGGGGAGCAAACAGGAUUAGAUACCCUUGUAGUC